UAGUGUGUUGUACCAUAAUUAAUUUUAUGGGCAAGAACGAGGCACUUGCGGCCAAUCGCUAGUGGCAUCCACAUGGCUGCACUUAAUUAGCACAUCUCCAUGCGAAUGGCCUAGUAUGAUGGUUGGCUGCCUUUGUGCGACGACCCAAAAAUUUCAAUAAAUAUGCAUACAAACAUAUGUUGAUUAAUAUUUUAUAGCCCAAUACAUACAUGUCUAGAUUACGAUGCAUCUUCUUAGACACCCUAUGCACCCGGAUGGAGGAAGUACUUGUUUUUGUUUUUAUCCUUGAUUAGUAUCAAUUGUUGUAUUGUAG
rnacentral:lncRNA from 1 species